rnacentral:rRNA from 1 species
GAGAGUUCAAGAGUACGUGAAACUGUAUAGUGGUAAACGGAGGAGUUUCUCGAAGUCUUAAUCGGAGGUUCAGGUUGACGGUGAUUCAGCUGAUGUGUUAGAGUGUCGCAAGAUCUCUGCAUGUCGGUUAGUUUUACUGGCGGCUGCACUUCUCCGAUUAUUCACACGACGAACCGCUAGCGGCAGACCGAAGACAUGGGUGAAGUUCGUUCCUUGUGUUCGAGCCCUGUGUUCUUGGCUUUGCAGCUGGCGGGUAUCUGAGCUGUCAUGUAUAGCAUGUGACCAUGUUGUCACGCACAGCAUCUCUGUCGUGAGUAGGUUGGCGGCUCCUCCGACCCGUCUUGAAACACGGACCAU